rnacentral:rRNA from 1 species
UACGGGGGGGGUAAGCGUUGUUCGGAAUUACUGGGCGUAAAGGGCUCGUAGGCGGCCAACUAAGUCAUACGUGAAAUCCCUCAGCUUAACUGGGGAACUGCGUGUGAUACUGGAUGGCUUGGAUUUGGGAGAGGGAUGUGGAAUUCCCGGUGUAGCGGUGAAAUGCGCAGAUAUCGGGAGGAACACCAGUAGCGAAGGCGGCUCGCUGGGCCAUUCCUGACGCUGAGACGCGAAAGCUAGGGGAGCGAACAGG